AGGGCAGUAGCUCCAAUUGGUAGAGCAACGGACUCCAAAUCCGUGUGUUGUGGGUUCGAAUCCCUCCUGCCCUG
rnacentral:tRNA from 1 species